rnacentral:rRNA from 1 species
UUAAGGGCGUCGAGCGGCGGACGGGUGAGUAAUGCCUGGGAAAUUGCCCUGAUGUGGGGGAUAACCAUUGGAAACGAUGGCUAAUACCGCAUAAUGCCUUCGGGCCAAAGAGGGGGACCUUCGGGCCUCUCGCGUCAGGAUAUGCCCAGGUGGGAUUAGCUAGUUGGUGAGGUAAGGGCUCACCAAGGCGACGAUCCCUAGCUGGUCUGAGAGGAUGAUCAGCCACACUGGAACUGAGACACGGUCCAGACUCCUACGGGAGGCAGCAGUGGGGAAUAUUGCACAAUGGGCGCAAGCCUGAUGCAGCCAUGCCGCGUGUAUGAAGAAGGCCUUCGGGUUGUAAAGUACUUUCAGUCGUGAGGAAGGUAGUGUAGUUAAUAGCUGCAUUGCUUGACGUUAGCGACAGAAGAAGCACCGGCUAACUCCGUGCCAGCAGCCGCGGUAAUACGGAGGGUGCGAGCGUUAAUCGGAAUUACUGGGCGUAAAGCGCAUG